rnacentral:rRNA from 1 species
ACGUAGGGUGCGAGCGUUAAUCGGAAUUACUGGGCGUAAAGCGAGCGCAGGCGGUUGUGUAAGACAGAUGUGAAAUCCCCGGGCUCAACCUGGGAACUGCAUUUGUGACUGCAUGGCUAGAGUGCGUCAGAGGGGGGUGGAACUCCACGUGUAGCAGUGAAAUGCGUAGAGAUGUGGAAGAACACCGAUGGCGAAGGCAGCCCCCUGGGAUGACACUGACGCUCAGGCUCGAAAGCGUGGGGAGCAAACAG